UUUCCGUAGGUGAACCUGCGGAAGGAUCAUUACCGAGUGAGGGUCUCUCAGGCCCGACCUCCCACCCUGUGUUUUUGUGACCUUGUUGCUUUGGCGGGUCCGCCUCAAUGAGAGGCCGCCGGAAGCUCACCGAUUGGGGCCCGUGCCCGCCAGUAGCCCCCUUAAAUUCUUAAUAAACCUGUCGUCUGCGUCUAGAUAUAAUAAAAAAAACUUUCAACAACGGAUCUCUUGGUUCUG
rnacentral:misc_RNA from 1 species